AAAGUCGUAACAAGGUUUCCGUAGGUGAACCUGCGGAAGGAUCAUUAAUGAUUCAAAGGAUGUGCUGGCAAUUUACAAUUGCAUUGUGCACUCCAACUCUUCAUUCACCUGUGCACAUUCUGUAGACGAGGAUAUUUCUUGUCUAUGAUUUUUACACACUGUUAAAAUAAAUUUGAAUGUUUUAUAAAGUUUAAUACAACUUUCAACAAUGGAUCUCUUGGUUCUC
rnacentral:misc_RNA from 1 species